AUUUGAUGAUGUGGAAAUUGUAUUUGUAACUCCUAAAAUCUUUCCCAAGCUUCAAAGAUUUCUUCCGUAUGUUUUUGUUUAAAAGUUUGGAUCUUGUUUCUUAACUC
rnacentral:snoRNA from 1 species